UACAGAGGUCUCAAGCGUUUGUUCGGAUUCAUUGGGCGUAAAGGGUGUGUAGGUGGCGCGUUAAGUCGGGUGUGAAAUUUCGGAGCUUAACUCCGAAACUGCAUUCGAUACUGGCGUGCUUGAGGACUGGAGAGGAGACUGGAAUUUACGGUGUAGCAGUGAAAUGCGUAGAUAUCGUAAGGAAGACCAGUGGCGAAGGCGGGUCUCUGGACAGUUCCUGACACUGAGACACGAAGGCCAGGGGAGCAAACGGG
rnacentral:rRNA from 1 species